UCCUGAAAGGAAAUCUGACCGGCGUGGUACAUUUUAACAAGCACAUUUUUCGAUUUUCCUAGGAGUUUUCGUAAUAAACGGGGAAAAACGGGGAAAUUUACGAAAAGUAUUGUUUUCAAAUCGUAAAUAUACGGCGUUUCAAUACACGUACAACCGGACUCCGUUCGGUAUCGGUUUUUGUUAGCAAUGAUUAAUCGUCGCGUACAGAUAUAAACAUUAAAUUCCUCGUCUGUCUUCCCGGAUUCUCGCCGACAACAGUGGCCCACCCAUCGUACGAAUUACGUCCGGUUGUUUUUAUCGCCGUUUUGCAAACUCUAUACGUUCAGAUUGCACCGUAAUAUAAACUACAAUAUAUUUUCUUGUGAAAACCUCGAGUCGCGUUGUUCACAGUUGUGCGUAUAAUAUAUUGCAUACAUAGCUGGCGUGUUGAAUCGUUCGCAGUUCAUAACCCGAGGAUUUCCCGCCAAAAUCGAACUGUUGUAACCUUCCGUUCAAGUUCAUAGUCAGCGUUUGUGAUACCGUUGGUAGAAAAAAUAAAUCGCCGGUCGAACGAGCCAUUAUUUAAAAAGAAAAAAAAAACUACACGCGAUUUAAGGUUUACUACUAUAAAAUUAUUAAACCGCACUGUGUAUACUCGUAACUCGUUCAUUGAUGUGCCGCGGGUAUACCCGGUGGCGUGCACAAUGCGACCGGGCAUUUUGCGCCCCCAUUAUCGUCUUUUUAUUUGUCAUUUUUAAUUUUUAACAAUUCGUCGUUUCAUUCUACGUUAAUUAUAUUUUAUACUGCACCGUACUUAAGUCUACGGGCGUUUAUUCAAUAAACAAAUAAAUUAAUAAUAUUAAUUUUACACAGUUUUGAAUUUCGAGUGAAUAGUCCGCCUUAUAUGAUUUCAGUAGGUAAAGAUUUCGAUAACGGGCGAAAAUGGCACGAAAAAGGUAAUGGGCGAAAAGCGCGCGGCGCCAAACACCCGAUGGGUA